GAAAGCAAAGAAGGGCAUAUGGAGGAUGCCUAGGCUCUCGAAGGCGAAGAAGGACGUGAUAAGCUGCGAAAAGCUCCGGGGAGUGGCAAAUACACCGAGAUCCGGAGAUAUCCGAAUGGGGCAACCCGUCGAGGCUCGACCUCGACACACGCGAACGCGUGGGCGAACGUGGGGAACUGAAACAUCUAAGUACCCAUAGGAAGAGAAAAUAACAAUGAUUCCGCAAGUAGUGGCGAGCGAACGCGGAAGAGCCCAAACCGCAGGCGUAGCAAUGCGCCGUGCGGGGUUAUAGGACCGGCGCCACGAAGAACUGAAAGCUAGCCGAACCGACUGGAAAGUCGGGCCGCAGCGGGUGACAGCCCCGUAGGCGAAAGCGUUCAGCGAUUCCAGCCGGCACCUGAGUAACCCGGAGCACGAGGAAUUCCGGGCGAAUUGGCGGGGACCAUCCCGUAAGGCUAAAUACUAACGAGAGACCGAUAGCGAACCAGUACCGUGAGGGAAAGGUGAAAAGAACCUCGAACAGAGGAGUGCAACAGACCCUGAAACCAUAUGCCUACAAGCGGUCGGAGCGGCUCAGUGCCGUGACGGCGUGCCUUUUGCAUAAUGAACCUACGAGUCACCGUCGUUGGCAAGGUUAAGGACAAUGAUGUCCGGAGCCGAAGCGAAAGCGAGUCCGAAGAGGGCGCCGGAGUCAGCGGAGGUGGACGCGAAACCAAGUGAUCUACCCUUGGGCAGGUUGAAGGACAGGUAAAACUGUCUGGAGGACCGAACCGGUAAGCGUUGAAAAGCUUUCGGAUGACCUGAGGGUAGGAGUGAAAGGCCAAUCAAACUUGGAGAUAGCUCGUACUCCCCGAAAUGUAUUUAGGUGCAGCCUCGGAGAGAAUCUGACGGAGGUAGAGCGACUGAUAGGAUGCGAGGGCUUCACCGCCUAUCAAGUCCUGACAAACUCCGAAUGCCGUCAGACAUAUCCGGGAGUAAGGGCGCGGGUGCUAAGGUCCGCGUCCGAGAGAGGAACAACUCAGACCAUCGGCUAAGGUCCCGAAAUCCGGGCUAAGUUGAAGACAAUAACGAGGUGGGAUUGCAUAGACAGCUAGGAUGUUGGCUUGGAAGCAGCCAUUCAUUUAAAGAGUGCGUAACAGCUCACUAGUCGAGUGAUCCCGCGUGGAUAAUAAUCGGGCAUAAGUCCGGUACCGAAGCCAUGGAAUCACGCUUAGGGCGUGAUUGGUAGGGGAGCAUUCCGUACGGCGGCGAAGGUCGGUGGCGAUGCCGGCUGGAGCGUACGGAAAAGCAAAUGUAGGUAUAAGUAACGAUAAUGGAGGCGAGAAACCUCCACGCCGAAAGACCAAGGUUUCCUGAUCAACGCUAAUCGGAUCAGGGUAAGUCGGGACCUAAGGGGCAGCCGCGAGGCGGACCCGAUGGAAGAAACGGUAAAGAUUCCGUUACUGUCGCCGGGAGUGAAGCGGGGACGGAGGAGUGACACCGCCGCGGACUGACGGAAUAGUCCGUUGAAGAGUGUAGGUAUUCGGAGGCCAGGCAAAUCCGGCCUUUGAGCUGAACUUGACAGUACUGCGAGCCUUCGGGCAAGCAGACAGCGCGGGUAAUCAGACUCCCAAGAAAAUCCGCUAAACAUAUGUCGGCGACACCCGUACCGAAACGGACACACGUGGUCGGGUAGAACAUACUAAGGCGCUCGAGAGAUUCACCGUUAAGGAACUAGGCAAAUUGACCUCGUAACUUCGGGAUAAGGGGUCCCACAGCGAUGUGGGCGCAGAGAAUAGGUCCAGGCAACUGUUUAACAAAAACACAGGGCUGUGCGAAAUUUAAAGAUGAAGUAUACAGCCUGACACCUGCCCGGUGCCGGAAGGUUAAGAGGAGAAGUCAUCGCAAGAGAAGCUUUGAAUUGAAGCCCCGGUAAACGGCGGCCGUAACUAUAACGGUCCUAAGGUAGCGAAAUUCCUUGUCGGGUAAGUU
rnacentral:rRNA from 1 species